rnacentral:rRNA from 1 species
GUAGACCCGAAACCAGAUGAGCUAUCCAUGGCCAGGUUGAAGGUGUGGUAACACACACUGGAGGACCGAACCGACUAGUGUUGCAAAAUUAGCGGAUGAGCUGUGGAUAGGGGUGAAAGGCUUAACAAAUCUGGAGAUAGCUGGUUCUCCCCGAAAACUAUUGAGGUAGUGCCUCGUGUAUUGCUCCAGGGGGUAGAGCACUGUUAUGGCUAGGGGGACAUGGCGUCUUACCAAACCAUGGCAAACUCCGAAUACUUGGAAGUAAGAGCACGGGAGACAGAGCACCGGGUGCUAACGUCCGGACUCAAGAGGGAAACAACCCAGACCGCCGUUUAAGGUCCCAAAUAUUGACUAAGUGGAAAACGAAGUGUGAAGGCUAAGACAGUCAGGAAGUUGGCUUAGAAGCAGCCAUCCUUCAAAGAAAGCGUAAUAGCUCACUGAUCGAGUCCUCAUGCGCGGAAGAUGUAACGGGGCUAAGUCAAUAACCGAAAGCGCGGAUUUGCACGCAAGUGCAAGUGGUAGGGGAGCGUUCUGUAAGCCUGCGAAGGUGGUUCGAGAGGACUGCUGGAGGUAUCAGAAGUGCGAAUGCUGACAUGAGUAACGUUAAAGCGGGUGAAAAGCCCGCUCGCCGUAAGCCCAAGGUUUCCUGCUCUACGUUCAUCGGAGCAGGGUGAGUCGGCCCCUAAGGCCAGGCUGAGAAGCGUAGUCGAUGGGAAGCAGAUUAAUAUUUCUGCACCAUGUGCAAGUGCGAUGGGGGGACGGAGUGCGAAAGAUCAUCCGGGUGUUGGAUGUCCCGGUUUGUGAGUGUAGAAGGCCGACAGGCAAAUCCGUCGGCGGAUCUUCGAGACAAAGCAUCGAGGUUCUACGGAACCGAAGUGAUCGGAAGUGCUUCCAGGAAAAGCCUCUAAGCUUCAGCUUGCAUAUGACCGUACCGUAAACCGACACUGGUGGGCGAGUUGAAUAUACUCAGGCGCUUGAGAGAACUCGGGAGAAGGAACUCGGCAAAUUGACACCGUAACUUCGGGAUAAGGUGUGCCUUUGUAGCGUGAAGAGAGAAACACUCGGAGCGUGAAGAGGCCUCAGAGAAUCGGUGGCUGCAACUGUUUAUUAAAAACACAGCACUCUGCAAAGACGAAAGUCGACGUAUAGGGUGUGAUGCCUGCCCGGUGCUGGAAGAUUAAGUGAUGGGGUGAGAGCUCCUGAUCGAAGUCCCAGUAAACGGCGGCCGUAACUAUAACGGUCCUAAGGUAGCGAAAUUCCUUGUCGGGUAAGUUCCGACCUGCACGAAUGGCAUAAUGAUGGCCACACUGUCUCCUCCCGAGACUCAGUGAAGUUGAAAUGUUUGUGAUGAUGCAAUCUCCCCGCGGCUAGACGGAAAGACCCCAUGAACCUUUACUGUAGCUUUGCAUUGGACUUUGAACCGAUUUGUGUAGGAUAGGCGGGAGGCAGAGAAAGCGCAACGCCAGUUGUGCCGGAGCCGACGUUGAAAUACCGCCCUGAUUUGUUUGAGGUUCUAACCGCGACCCGUAAGCCGGGUCCGGGACCGUGCAUGGCAGGCAGUUUGACUGGGGCGGUCUCCUCCUAAAGGGUAACGGAGGAGUACAAAGGUACGCUAGGUACGGUCGGAAAUCGUGCUGAUAGUGCAAAGGCAAAAGCGUGCUUGACUGCGAGACCGACAAGUCGAGCAGAUGCGAAAGCAGGUCUUAGUGAUCCGGUGGCUCUGUAUGGAAGGGCCAUCGCUCAACGGAUAAAAGGUACUCUGGGGAUAACAGGCUGAUACCGCCCAAGAGUUCAUAUCGACGGCGGUGUUUGGCACCUCGAUGUCGGCUCAUCUCAUCCUGGGGCUGUAGCCGGUCCCAAGGGUAUGGCUGUUCGCCAUUUAAAGAGGUACGUGAGCUGGGUUUAAAACGUCGUGAGACAGUUUGGUCCCUAUCUGCCGUGGGCGCUGGAAGAUUGACGGGGGCUGCUCCUAGUACGAGAGGACCGGAGUGGACGCACCUCUGGUGUACCGGUUGUCACGCCAGUGGCAUCGCCGGGUAGCUAUGUGCGGAAGAGAUAACCGCUGAAAGCAUCUAAGCGGGAAACUUGCCUGAAGAUAAGUCUUCCCGGAGGCUAGACCUCCCUGAAGAGUCGUUCGAGACCAGGACGUUGAUAGGUCGGGUGUGUAAGCGUUGUGAGGCGUUUAGCUAACCGAUACUAAUUGCUCGUGAGGCUUGAUCCU